rnacentral:lncRNA from 1 species
AAAUAGCCUUAAAGUCUGGCUGCCUGUGGGCCGGGCAGAACAGAGCCAUAUUUCUCUUAUUACCAAAAAUGGGUAAGAGAAAUAUCACUGAAUUCUUUCUCCAGUAAGGAAUAUUAAUAAUUAACAGCCCUGGGAAAAGAAUGCAUUCUGGGGAGGGGAGGGGGCCUCUGAAAUGGCCGCUCUGGGGGUGUCUGCCUUAUGCAGUUGCAGAUAAGGGAUGAAACACACCCUGGCCUCCUGCAACGCCCCCAGGCUUGCUAGGAUUAGGAAAUUCCAGCCUGGCAAAUUCUAGUCAGACCAGUUCUCUGCUCUUGAACCCUGUUAAGAUGUUUAUCAAUGACAAUGUGAGCACAGUGGGACAUAGAAGUUCAUUAGUGAUUCCAGUUUUGCCCUGACCUUGUGAUCUCACCCUGACCUUCUGCCUUGUGAUCUUUCGUCACCCUUGAAGCAUGUGAUCUCUGUGACCCACACCUUAUUUGUACACUCCCUCCCCUUUGAAAAUUGCUAAUAAAAACUUGCUGGUUUUACGGCUCAGGGGGCAUCACGGAACCUGCCGACAUGUGAUGUCUCCCCCGGACACCCAGCUUUAAAAUUUCUCUCUUGUACUCUUUCCCUUUAUUUCUAGACCGGCCAACACUUAGAGAAAUAGAAAAGAACCUAUGUGAAAUAUCGGGGGCUGGUUUCCCCUGAUAGUGAAGGAGACAGGUUAGAUACACUGGAGCUUCCACACAGGAGAGAGGGAAGGAGCUGGAGAAGAAGGUGAGUUGGAAGAUUUGGGGGUUUUGUUUUUAAGUGAGAGAGCUUUGAAUAGGUUUAAUGCUGAUGGUGGGGAUCCAGUUAAGAGAAACACUGAAAAUUAACUAGAGGGAAAGGUAACUGACAGUAUAGAGUUCCUAAGAACCCAAGCAGUAAAUUCUAGCCUAGCUGGGGGUGGAGUGUGAAGAAGUGAAGAACCUUUUUUAUUUUUUUUUUAAUGGGCUGGGUGUGAAGCUACAUUUGUAGUUUUGUGGCAGGAAGUUCCCUUACUGUAACUUCUAUAUUUUCUGUGAAGCAGAAGACAAGAACUCUGUUCAAAGUUAGGGAGAUGAUAGAUUGAGGGCUAGAAGAGUAAGGCAGGCUUGAAACAAUCAUUGUCACGAAUGGGAGUUGACCAGAGAUUAGUAACGUUGCUGGGCCAUGUGUAGGGGCCCAUUUGAAACCAGCGAUUACAAAUGUGCAGUGGUUCCAGGCCGUGCGGCUGUGUGAAUCUACCUGAUGACCCUCGGCUGCUUGGGUACUGCCAUGGAUAGCGCAUGUGUUGGCUUUGUCCAGCUUUGGGCUUUUUCCCACAUUGAUUUUAAAAAGACAGGAGCCACAGAUUUUGGAGUACUGCAAAAUGACUUUCCAAAUUGAUGAACCAUGGACUCCAAGCUGGAUAGACACAGAAAUGAAAAGAAGGGACUAAUAGGGAAUAAGACGUGUGAUCCAUGGCCCGAUGGCCCUGAUGGACGUGAAGAUCCACUGUUGUGGGAGGAGUGGAACACUAACACUGAAUGAUGGAGGCUGUGGUCAGAAACAGAUUUGUCUGAAUUUCAGUUGAUCCAGAGCAAGAAAAAUAGCUGAAUAUAACUGGCCAGUGCAGAAGAGCCUAUGAAGGUGGAAAAUGGAGGAAGGAGGACCCCAUGCUGGAGAAGUGAUGGAGAUUUGAAGCCUUGGAAGAUGGCGGCAAGGGAGAUGCCAGAGAUGAGACAAUGUUAAACAUCUGUAAUCUAACAGUCUUCUAUGGGAGUUUAUUACAUUUCCAUAUCCUAUGUUCACUUCUAGUGAAAAAUAAAAAUAAAAUCUUAAGCCCCCCACAGCUGACUAAAUGGAUCCCAUUGUGAAAGGAAAAUAUCUUGAGCCUCCAAAAUCACUAAGGAAAAUUCAAGCUGGAAACUUCUUAGGACAAACCUGCCUCCCAUUCUCUUCAAAGUUAUUCCUCUGCUCGAGGAGCUAGAUGCAUAUCUGAUUGCCGCCUUUGGAAAGGCUAACCAGAAACUCAAAAGAAUGAUACAGUUUGUUAUCACCUACCUGUGACCUGGAAGCUCCCUCCCUCCCCACUUGAGUCUUCCUGCUUUUGUUUCAAGCUGUCCUGCCUUUCCAGACCAAACCAAUGUACUUCUUACGUAUAUUGAUUGAUGUCUCACUCAUGUCUCCCUAAAUCGUAUAAAACCAAGCUGUGCCCCAACUACCCUGGGCAUGUGUCAUCAGGAUUUCAUGAAGCUGUGUCACGGGCGCAUUCCCCAACCUUGAAAAAAUAAACUUUCUAAAUUAACUGAGACCUGUCUCAGAUUUUCUGGGUUCACAUUGUUUUCGUCAAGGGGACUCCCCAAGUAACUUUGAAAACUGAGUUCUAGGCUGUGAGGGGAUGGGAGGUCAGAGGUCAGACGCACCUUGCUGCACACCUCCACCUCGCUAACCCCCUUAGGCUUUCUUCCCUAGGGGCUAAACAGAAACCAGCUCUUUCCUUUUUUUUUUUUCUUUUUUUUUAGAGACGAGUCUUGCUCUGUCACCCAGGCUGGAGUGCAGUGGUUCGAUUUUGGCUCACUGCAACCACCACCUCCCAGGUUCAAGCAAUUCUCCUGCCUCAGCUUCCCAAGUAACUGCAACUACAAGCACAUGCCACCAUGCCCGGCUAAUUUCUUUUGUAUUUUUAGUAGAGAUGGGGUUUCACCAUGUUGCCCGGGCUGGUCUUGAACUCCUGAGCUCAGGCAAUCUGUCCGCCUCAGCCUCCCAAAGUGCUAGGAUUACAGGCAUGAGCCACUGCACCCAGCCAAAACCAGCUCUUUCAAAAGACUCCAGUGCUGAUAUCAACAACUGCCUGAGGCUUCCCCACCCUUUUGCAGUUUCCACAUAACAAUUAACCAGCAUUCCCUCCUGAUAAGAGACAACACCCCGCCCGCCGACGCAGAGCGGUUCUGGCCAGUCUUCAGAGGCUGCACACAGAGAGCCUGCGUGUCCCUGCUUUGUCUUUCGAUGUAAAAGGCCUAACUGUCAUGCAUUGAAAUGUGAAGUCUCCAGCCCAAAGUGAACAUGGGACACAUGCUGCAUGCAUGUUAGCCUGCUACACAUGCAUGAUCCUCUUCAUGAAUAUUCAUAGCUCCUCCUGUAAUCUGUUGAAUAUGUAUACUUAGCCAACCUGCUCAACAUAAAUUCCUGUUCCCUUUACCCCUCCUUUGAAAUAUGUGUUUCCAGCUUCUGGCCCAAGGCUACGCUUUCCAGCCUGUCAGAAUGGCUGCCUGCAAGCAGCAACCCUUUAGGAGAAAGAAAGCUCUCCUUUCCAAAUUUAUAAAUGUCAUCAUACUUCAGUUUACAAUAGUAUUUAAUUUUUUGACCUUUAAGUUCUCCAAGGUCCUUCUCCAUUUUUAAGGCUUUCGAAAUUAACUGAUGAUUCUACUAAAAAGCUAAAAAUAGGUUUUUUGUUUCCAAAUAAUCAGAACAUAAUACAGUCAAAAGCACCAUAUAGAAAUAGUUCCCUGUUUCCAGCCAAUACGGCUGUGUCUCUGUUUUGAACAUUUGCCUCCAGAGUGUUGCUGAUGCAGUUCAAACAGAAAGCACUGAGAAAUAAAAUUUGCAAGUGGUUUCUGUUGAGAGUUUCUACUGUUUAUAAGUCUGCGAGAAUUAGUUACGUUACAGCAGGGAGUGAGAGAGAGAAGCAGCGGGUACCAAAACCUCGCUGAGCUCCUACCUGCCCUCCCCAUUUCUUGCCCGCCCCCCAUGGCUACCUGCCCCCUGCGAUGAACUCGAGACCUUGGAAUGAGAAACAGUUCAGAGUUGUCUGGUGUGUGCAUAUCACCUGUGGUCUAACUCAUCACCCUGAAAGAAACCAAAAUAUUUCACCCCAAAAUACCCUUCUUUGACAUAUUUUGAGAGGGCUGUUCAGAGGGCCUGCGAGCAUGGGCAGCCCUGCAAAGGUGUCUGGUGGGGGAGAUUUGCAUCUGAGGGAAAAUCAGCAGUGAUACAGUCAGGCUUAGAGUUCCUCCCUUGUCUGGAUCUAGAAAAGAUUAACUGAGAGUGACAUCUUUAAAGAGCUGAAAGAAACAUUUCCCAUCUAUUCUCUGUGACGGUUGCCACCUGCAAGGUUUCAUCUACAUAACAAGACCACCUUUGCAGACCAGGUCUCCUCUUCUCUCCCUCCCAUAACCUGUCUUGCCAUUAGAAACUGAUUUACCACCAUAACCUGUUUUUAGCCAUGCUCUGAGGCCCCAUUCUUUCUGUAACCUUGAGACGGCAUAAAGAGGUCAACCAUCUGGCCAUUUCUUUGAGUUCUUAUAUUUUGUAGGACUCCCAUAUAUAUUAAUAAAUUUGGAUGCCUUUUCUCCUAUUAAUAUGCCUUUUGUCAGUUGAUUUUUCAGUGAACCUUCAGCGGGUGAAGGAGAAGUUUUCCCUUGGUCCCUACAAUCUGUUUACCCUAAACCAGGCUGAUACAAAAAUUAAAUGAUGU